UACAGAGGUCCCAAGCGUUGUUCGGAUUCAUUGGGCGUAAAGGGUGCGUAGGUGGCGUCGUAAGUCGGGUGUGAAAUCUCGGGGCUUAACUCCGAAACUGCAUUCGAUACUGCCGUGCUUGAGGACUGGAGAGGAGACUGGAAUUUACGGUGUAGCAGUGAAAUGCGUAGAUAUCGUAAGGAAGACCAGUGGCGAAGGCGAAUCUCUGGACAGUUACUGACACUGAGGCACGAAGGCCAGGGGAGCAAACAGG
rnacentral:rRNA from 1 species